CGUCAUGGGAGCCUCGCCAAGCCACAUUAACUACGUAACGCAGCACCCGGGAUCCGAGUGCGUUGGUUCGAGUUAGCGUCGUAGUUGAUUUUCGACUUUCCCAGGUCUCUCGAUUAACGAUGAGUAGGUACGAGAGCGAUAUGGAUGUGGGGACUUUUAAGAGAUGGAUUUUGGGAGCUUUGAGGCUGCGUCCUUUGAGUGGAAGGACGGCCGUGUCACCCCCCAUUCUUGUUGGUUUUGGGGUG